rnacentral:rRNA from 1 species
GACAGAGGUCCCGAGCGUUAGGCGGAAUCACUGGGCUUAAAGCGUGUGUAGGCGGAUGCCUAAGUACCUUGUGAAAUCCCACGGCUCACCCGUGGAACUGCUUGGUAUACUGGGUGUCUUGAGCCACUUAGGGGCUACCGGAACAAAUGGUGGAGCGGUGAAAUGCGUAGAUAUCAUUUGGAACGCCAAUGGUGAAAACAGGUAGCUGGGAGUGUGCUGACGCUGAGACACGAAGGCCAGGGGAGCGAACGGG